rnacentral:lncRNA from 1 species
UUAUGGUAGUUAUGGAAAAAACCUAGACCCUAAACCGUACACACAAAAUGGUGUGAAAAAAUACCUUACAUGAAAAACGAUGUACAAAAAUAACCUACAACACAAAAUGGUGUAAAAAAACAUUACUCGCAAAAGAGUGUAAAAAAAUCUUAACCUUACAUGCUAAACGGUAUAAAAAAAAAAACUAAACCAAAAACCCUAAACCCUACACACAUAACGGUGUAUAAAAAAGAAAAAACCUUUCACGCAAAAAUCGUCCAUUAAUUUAUUUGUUUUUGAAAUCUUACAAGCUUAAACCUUAAAUCGUAAACUCUACACGUGAAACAGUGUAAAAAUAAAACCUAAACCGUAAAUCGUGAAGUGUAAACCCUACACGCAAAAGGGUGUUAAAAAAGAAGCACCUUACACGCAAAACGGUGUAAAAAAACAUAAACCCUAAACCUUACACGCAUAUCGAUGUAAAAAAAGAAAGACAUUUCAUGCAAAACGGUGUAAAAAAACUAAACCCUAUGGUAAAACAGUGUAAAAAAAGAAAAAAACCCUGUACGUAAAAAUUAAAAAUAAAUAGAAAACGUUCCCGUUUUGAAUAUCUGAGACUUCGUCAAUGGCGUAGCUGGCAAAGGUCGAACGAGAUUUUUUUUCUAUGUGAAAUAACAAAAAAUCGUCCAAUUCUGACUUCAUAAGCAAAAGUUAUGACAGUUUGAAGUUUUAACGGUUCUCGUUUUCACAAAAAUUCGUAACUCUAAACCAAGACUACCGCGAUUGCUUUUGCAAUUUUUGUAUCAAAAUAUUGACCAUAAGAAGUGCACAAAAAUAAUUUCAAAACGAAGUAAAAAAAAAACAUUACACGUAAAACGAUGAAAAAAAAUAACCGAAAAUCUAAAACCCACACGUAAAACGGUGUAAAACAAAGAAAAAACCUUACACGCAAAACGGUGUAAAAAAAGAAAAAAAUGGUGUAAAAAAUAUUUUUAUCUGCAAAAUAAAAAGACGUCCAAUUCUAACUUCGUGAGGAAAAUUUAUGG